AGACGGACAGCUCUGACUCGCUCUUUCUUUCUCUGGGCACCUGCGCGCCCACCAUGUCAAGCCAUGCUGAGGCGUGCCGAGUCCAAGAGCCAUGUCUCUGGUGCACAGUGUUAACAGGGCAGUUAUACCUUUUACAGACAACUGCGGCUCCAAGUCAAGUAUGAACUUACACAAACAGGUUAUAUAACAAGUGGAGGUGUGCGCCUGCGUGCCAAACUUGCUGACUCACACAGGCCUGGAUACCCGCCUCGGCCUAUUCCUUGACCAAAGCACAUCAAGGGCAGGAAACGGAAGCUCUUGGGAAGGCGGAAGUUGCACGUGCUCUCACAGUCAACUGUGCUGGAAUAGGAGGCCAGGAACCACCUCUGUUGGAGGAGGAGGACCCAUCAGGCAUCCCUUCAAGAAUGCCAAGAUCCACAGCAAGCGCUUCCCUUCUAUGGGCACAGAAGGGCUGUGGGAGCCAAGAAAAUGUGCUUCUGGCCAGAGUGGGAUUCCCAAGGAAGAUGUUAAGACAUCUAUAAUAUUUGAGAGCAAAAUUAACACAGCUCCAGCCCGUGGGCAAGUUAGAGACGGGAGUAGUGUCUGUGGAAUGGAGGAAAGCAGAGGCUGCCGCUGACCAUCCUGCAGCCCUUGCUCUGACUGCUCCCAGUUCUCCACCUCCUCUGGACUUUGUCACGUCAGUACAUGAAACAACCAUUUCAACCAGCUUGGACAAAAAAGAGAAGCCAAGAUGGGGCUGAGAAACCAAUGCAGCUGGGCCCAGGGAUCCAGGACUCAGGGACCAGGUGCUGCCGGAUGUUUGCUCUGACUCGUGUUGCUGCUGUCUUCUCUGUGCCUCAACUCUGUCCUCUGUCACUGAAGGCAGCUUCCUCCCAAGGUGG